AUCCUAAGGGAGGUGACCCAGUCACAGAAAGACAAACAAGCUGCUCAACCAGCCUGGAGGUCCAAAUGACAUCAAUCAAAGGAGGUUGAUUUUCUUCACACUCUUCCAUCAUCAUGGGAAUGUCAAGCAAGCAGACUUUGCCUUUUUCAUGCAUGAUCUAUUUUCCAACCUGGAAUUCUAAUCUAACUGACGAGCCUGCAGUUUUGUGAACAGUAUCCUGCAAUACUACCCUGAGCUGUGUUUCCUUUCUGCACGGAACCCCCAACCCCAGAGACAUGUUACCAUUGGGAAGCAAAGACAAAGGACGUGUACAGAAUAUUAAUUAAUAUCUGCUGGAAGCAAUAAAAAGAAAGAGGAAGAGAAAGAGAAAGGGAGAAAACAAAAGAAAAUACAGAAACCAAAUAUGAUCUCACUGUUGUUGUUUGAACUGAGUUAUUGUUUCGAUUGACUUUCAAAGUGUAGCCCAGACUGGCUCAAGCUUACAUCUUUGACUCAGCAUCCAGAGCUUUGAAUAAUAAGUAUGGUCUGGCUUACACUGACUUUUGAAGCAUUUAUUUUGAACUGGAAAUUAAAGCAUUGGCUCUAUUUUUACCUAGGAUUUCAUAAGUACCUACUGUUCAGAUAAAACUAAGUCUGGGACUUACAUUCACAUACAAAAAUAAUUGGAUUAUUUAAAUGCCAGCAAGCAUAGCAAUUUUUCAGUGUCUACGAAUGAGUAAUGUUUAAUAAAAAAUAAAACAAAAACCCUGACCAAUUGGCAUCAAAUCUAAUUAUCCCAGCGAGGUAAGUCUGUAUUCCAGUCUUUGUCUAAAGAUGACCAUUUUUAUUUCUUAUGAUUAUAGCAAGAGCUACAAUAACAGCCUUCCUCUGAAGGGAUAAUUUUGUGAUUGUGUUCUAGAAAAGUCUGUCCUUGAGGUGAGAGAGAUGGAUGUGGGAGAAAAGAACUCAGAAUUACUAGUUUGUUUUCAUCUUUCUGACCAAAAGACAAGAGAACAGGUUUUAUUUUUCUUGGAUUCAUAAGUUUUUCUAGAGGCAAACUGAAUACUCCAGAUAUCCCUGAAUACGAAGUCCUCAGGGCCGAGCCAAAACUGAAUAUCCCAGACACCCUUGAAUACAAAGCCUCAGGCCCAAGUCUUCUGAGAAGGCAUUCCAUGUUCCAUGAGCUCUCUGAGGAUUCUUUGUCAAUUUCAUCUGUGAAAGCUUAUGUCACCUUCAUACCUAAGGCAAAUGCUAUGCUCUUUGAGUUUCUGAGUGCUCAAGAGUUACUGAAAACCAUCCAAUCCAGACACCGGCUGUACCUACUAGGCGCCAGAUGCCAUUAUCCACCAGAGAAACUGGUGAAAACCUGCAGCUGGGGGCCUGCUCCCAUGGGUGUUCUGUCACCCAAAUCAUGGAUCUUAACUCGCUCUCAUAACAAGGACAUAAAAUACCAUUCCUACCCACAACUUAUGCAAACACUCGAAAGUACUUACAGUGAGGCACCCAUUGAGGUAACAUACAGCUCAAAGGUAAAGUCUGAGUUAUGCAACCAGAGUCCCUCAUAAAUUAUUAAAAGGUUAGAAAUUCGGGUCUUGGGUUUUGUCUUUUGUCUUCUAUUAGAAUGGAGAACAGU